rnacentral:rRNA from 1 species
AGAGUUUGAUCAUGGCUCAGAAUCAACGCUGGCGGCGUGCCUAACACAUGCAAGUCGAACGCGAAAGGGGCUUCGGCCCUGAGUAGAGUGGCGAACGGGUGAGUAACACGUGGGUGAUCUACCUUCGAGUGGGGGAUAACGUCCCGAAAGGGACGCUAAUACCGCAUGACGUUCCGGGUUUAAAGACCUGGAAACCAAAGCCGGGGACCGCAAGGCCUGGCGCUUGAAGAGGAGCCCGCGUCCGAUUAGCUAGUUGGCGGGGUAAUGGCCCACCAAGGCAACGAUCGGUAGCCGGCCUGAGAGGGCGGACGGCCACACUGGAACUGAGACACGGUCCAGACUCCUACGGGAGGCAGCAGUGGGGAAUUGUUCACAAUGGGCGCAAGCCUGAUGACGCAACGCCGCGUGGGGGAUGAAGGUCUUCGGAUUGUAAACCCUUGUCGAACGGGACGAACGACUCGCGCACUAACACUGCGCGGGACUGACGGUACCGUUAAAGGAAGCCACGGCUAACUCUGUGCCAGCAGCCGCGGUAAUACAGAGGUGGCAAGCGUUGUUCGGAAUUACUGGGCGUAAAGGGCGCGUAGGCGGCUAUCUAAGUCAGACGUGAAAUCCCCCGGCUUAACCUGGGAACUGCGUCUGAUACUGGAAGGCUCGAGUUUGGGAGAGGGAUGUGGAAUUCCAGGUGUAGCGGUGAAAUGCGUAGAUAUCUGGAGGAACACCGGUGGCGAAGGCGGCAUCCUGGACCAACACUGACGCUGAGGCGCGAAAGCUAGGGGAGCAAACGGGAUUAGAUACCC